rfam:Ovis aries breed Texel chromosome 8, whole genome shotgun sequence.
UCCCUGGUGGCUCAGACGGUAAAGCAUCUGUCCGCAAUGCAGGAGACCCGGGUUCGAUCCCUGGGUUGGGAA